UACUACAAGCGUCGUGUGACCUCCUUGCGCUCUUUCUCUUCCCAAGGGCGGUUCGUCCUUUCCAAAACCCUCAGCUUGUGAGGCCUCAACGCGAUUGUGCUUCCUUCGAUCGACGAAGAUUGCUGCCGACGUCGCCUCCAUUGGGUCUAUUCUUCGUCGUGGAUUUACUUGCAACGUGACCAUCGCACAGAAAAACGAAAUCAAA
rnacentral:lncRNA from 1 species